ensembl:lncRNA
CAGCCCUGUGCACCCAUCAUUACCGGAUCAAGCUGUCUCCAUGGAGAUGUGAACAUGGAGUUGGGUGUGGUUGGUGCUCUCUGGCGCCCCUGGUGGCUGUGCAGGAUAGUUUGGAAAAUAGGGAUUUGAAGUGCCAGUACAGACCAGAUACAGUAGGAUAACUGUGUUAAAGGGCAAGACGCUCACUGGUAAAGCCCAGUGGCCCAAAAUGAAGCCAAACUGCUGUAAAGAAAAGCUCUACGACAGCUUCACAGAGACACACCGGCAGAGCUCCAGCAGAGCUCAACAGUCCCAUCAGCAGAGCCACCAGCAUUCCAUUAAACUGUGAAGGCCACUGGAGACCCCCUCACUGCAGACAGGAUCACAUGUGAGAUUGGAAUCAGCAUGAGCUUCUCUUCUAUCCAUGUCUGUCUUGUGCUUAGAUAAAAUGUGCUUUUCACCAAACCAGUUGUAUUCUUAGAUGCAAACUUAGAUACAGAUACAGCUACUGUAUAUGUGUUUUCUGUGUGCAUGACAAUGUUUUCUUAUUGUAUGUUUGUGUG